AUUGAACGCUGGCGGCAGGCCUAACACAUGCAAGUCGAACGAGCGGCGGACGGGUGAGUAAUGUCUGGGAAACUGCCCGAUGGAGGGGGAUAACUAAUGGAAACGGUAGCUAAUACCGCAUACCAUCGGAUGUGCCCAUAUGGGAUUAGCUAGUAGGUGGGGUAACGGCUCACAUAGGCGACGAUCCCUAGCUGGUCUGAGAGGAUGACACGCCACACUGGAACUGAGACACGGUCCAGACUCCUACGGGAGGCAGCAGUGGGGAAUAUUGCACAAUGGGCGCAAGCCUGAUGCAGCCAUGCCGCGUGUAUGAAGAAGGCCUUCGGGUUGUAAAGUACUUUCAGCGGGGAGGCGUUACUCACAGAAGAAGCACCGGCUAACUCCGUGCCAGCAGCCGCGGUAAUAC
rnacentral:rRNA from 1 species